rnacentral:rRNA from 1 species
AUACGUAGGUGACAAGCGUUAUCCGGAUUUACUGGGCGUAAAGGGCGUGUAGGCGGUCUUGCAAGUCAGAAGUGAAAUUCCUGAGUUCAACUCGGGCGCUGCUUCUGAAACUGCAGGACUUGAGUGCUGGAGGGGAUAGCGGAAUUCCUAGUGGAGCGGUAAAAUGCGCAGAUAUUAGGAAGAACACCGGUGGCGAAGGCGGCUGUCUGGCCAGUAACUGACGCUGAGGCGCGAAAGCGUGGGGAGGAAACAGGAUUAGAUACCCUGUUAGUCCACGCCGUAAACGAUGAAUACUAGGUGUAGGGGGUAUCGACUCCCUCUGUGCCGCAGUUAACACAAUAAGUAUUCCGCCUGGGGAGUACGGCCGCAAGGUUGAAACUCAAAUGAAUUGACGGGG